rnacentral:misc_RNA from 1 species
CGAGCGUCAUUAAAUCCCUCAAGCGCAGCUUGGUCUUGGGUUUCGCCCCCCGGGCGAUUCCGAAAAACAGUGGCGGUCCGGCGAGACUUUAAGCGUAGUAAAUCUUCUCCCGCUUUGAAAGCUCCCGCCGUGGCCCGCCAGAACAAUCCAUUGACACAACAAUUGACCUCGGAUCAGGUAGGGAUACCCGCUGAGCUUAA